GUGGCAGUCUUCCAGUAUGGGGAGCAAAACAGCUAUGGGUCAAGUCCGAUAUCUUUAGGAGAAGUCUUAUUGUGAGGGCGAGUUAUAUAACACCAUAGGACUGGCCGUCCCAUAUGAAAAGAUUAUAUUAGAAUUGAAUGAAGCUUUGUUUAUAUAUUGAUAAUGACAGUAUAUAUAUCGUGUCUUGACUAAUUGCGUGCCAGCAGUCGCGGUAAUACGUAAGAGACUAGUGUUAUUCAUCUUAAUUAGGUUUAAAGGGUACCCAGACGGUCAAUAUAGCUUAUAAAAUGUUAGUACUUGACUAGAGUUUUAUGUAAGAGGGCAGUACUUGAGGAGGAGAGAUGAAAUUUCGUGAUACCAAAGGGACUCUGUAAAGGCGAAGGCAGCCCUCUAUGUAAAAACUGACGUUGAAGGACGAAGGCACAGAGAACAAACAGGAUUAGAUACCCAAGUAGUCUUUGCAGUAAAUGAUGAAUGCCAUAGGUUAGAUUGGUCAAUUAUAGUCUAGGGUUAGUCUAGCAAACUAAUACCCUAUGCUAUAAUCCUAAUAUCUGGUCUAUAAAUGAAAGUGUAAGCAUUUCACCUCAAGAGUAAUGUGGCAACGCAGGAACUGAAAUCACUAGACCGUUUCUGACACCAGUAGUGAAGUAUGUUAUUUA
rnacentral:rRNA from 2 species